UGUUCGAUUUUAGGGGUCUUCUCAGAGCAAGAUGGAGUUUUGUAUAUUAAAAUGUUUAGUUUGGUGUCAGCGCUCUGAGGCAGAACCGUGACUGACAUGUCAGAACAGCAGGGAAACCAGUGGACUGGAGGGGAAGGAGAAGAGCAGCAUGUGAGUGAGUCAGAGUGCUGCAAAUUCUGUUGGACCAAUCUAGGACUGAAUUUAUGUCUGGGUGAGGUGAGAAAGGGGA
rnacentral:lncRNA from 10 species